rnacentral:lncRNA from 1 species
UCAUUUCUUGUUAGCCAAAUUGUCCAAAGCCACCACCCCUAUCAAUAAGUUUAAGUUUGGUUUUUGCCCCCUGUUUUGGUUAUUGAAUAGAUCAUUGGUGUUAAAAGGAGGAAUAAUACCAAGCACAAUAUGUACAGCCCUCAUAAGCAACAACAAAAUUUACUACCAUUACAAUUCCUUCUUGCUAGAUUAUCUUUUGUUAGUAUAACGCUAUUCUUUGAGUACCGCAACAAAAUCUUGAUUUUUUAAUGGUAACUUGGUGUGGCAAAUUUCUUGAGUGACUUUAAUUUCACUAUUGACAAGAUGCUAUGCAUAUAUCGAACGUACUGAGAAUAUGUAAAGACCAUAUACAUGUAUCUUCCC